CUGUAUGAGCUUUCCUAACGUUCGGUUGUGUGACAGUUCAGUGUGGAAGUGAUAAUUCAAAAAAAACGCAGGCGGCAAAAACAAAAUAGGAACUACAUAAUAGAGAAAAACAAGAAGAAGGACAAGGACCACAUAGGACCAAAAAAAAAAAAAAUAGAUCUGAAGUUGACAGGACACCUGGUUGUGCAUUGCCUUGAGCAA